CUCGCCGUUUCUGAAAAAUGUACUGGGCUGGACGCAGCCAUCCCGUGCCACCACCGUCCACCGGCGGCGCCGACCUCCCGCUGCCCCCCAGCCCACACCUGCCGCGUCGCCGGAUCGCCGCCGUGGCCCGCCGCGCCACCCUCCUGCUGCACCGCCUCAAACCAAUGGCGCAGGAGGAGGAGAAGAGAGCCAAACGCGGCCAUCGUUAUCGAUACUGUAGAAAAGCAAAAAAGGAGUGGAGAAAGAAGUGAAUCUGCAGGCAAUUAGGCGGGCAAUGCCUGGUGGAGGUACCAGACUUUGAUAUGAUGGUGUUUACUGACAGAAGUGAAGAAAAGCCAAAACUAACAGACGUAACAAGUUGUCCUAUUCUUCACCGUUACAUGUAAUGAUAAAAAAAAGUCACCAAAGCAAAGGGAUCUGAGCCUGGCAAUUUCCUGGAAAGACUGAUGAAGGAACAUGUUGAGUCCAGAUGGAAAAAGGGAACACGGGGAGGAAGAGGCUGAGUUAUCAGGUGCAUGCACAAAGGUCCCAGUUCAGUUCCUUGACACAUGUAGUGUAUGUAAUGGAUGAAGGAGAGUGAUGGGUGCUGGGGUGUCCAUUGCUGCUAUUCAAUGCAUGAAGUUUACAAUCUGAGUUCAGUUAUGUAGUCCUUUCUUUUUGCCUUCUGAUGAAGAAUCGUAUCACUGUAUGGUGUAUUUCCAUGUAAUAAGUAUGAAAUGGUGGUGUACUUAUUGGCUAGAUGGAGUAUAAAGUAUAAUGGUAAAACACAUGAAGAUGAGAAAAAAAUGUUUUUAUUAUUUAACAUCUACAUAUUUUACAUAUAUUGUAAAGUACAACACAACACAACAUCCAUCUAUUGUAGAUACAAGUACAACAAUACUGUACAAAGGCAGUAUAUACAUGUACUGUAUACCCUAACGGGCUCUGCUAUCGCUCUGCCAUUGACCCAAAAGUCGUUGUUGCUCUUCAUACCAGCUGAAGCUGAGGAGGAUAUACUUUUCAGAAUUCUUGUAUUUCCUCCCCUGAUCUGUUGAAUCGAAGCACUUGGCCCCGCCUUGCAGUUUUGAAAGCAAUCAUCACUAGAAUAGUGGCUUCUGCACAUGUGAUGCUCAAUUCGACCACGGUGUCUAGCUUCCUUGUGUGAACCAAGCGAAGGAAGCGGUGGCUGGCAAUUUCCUGGAAAGACCGCUGAAAAGGGAACACGGUUGGUUGCUGUGUGACACUGUGUAGGUGUAGCACGUCCUUUUCUUCUCGUGCCACUAGUCAGCAAUAUCUGGCCGUUCUUGCAUGGAAAAUUUGGGAGAAAUCCACCAAGGAUGACCGCUUCAACUUAAUAGUAGUACUGUAUGAUUUUUUUGAAGGGGAAAGUGAGACUAAGUUAUCAAAAAAAUAAAUCGAUGAAGGUACGUGCUGCAUGAUUGAGCUCUUCUUUUUUUCCUUUUUUAUACAAUAUACUCUGAACUAAAACCACGGCGCUUAUUAUGAAACGGAGGGGCUCAGAGACUAUGUGAAGGUGGUUAGUUAAUUCAGCUCAUUGUUUCCUCUGUUAUUAUUUCAGCAGAGUGAUGGGCUGUUGGGGUGUCAACUUCUGAUAUUCAAAGAUUUAUU